CAGCACCAUGCCUAAUAACUGAGGGCUGACCUUUUAGUUUAAUGCUUUCUCUGCUCAGCUCAGGGCCCCUGCCACAGUGCAAUAGCUGUGCGGCAAGGAGAAAAGUUAUCCUUCCCAUCAGCUUUGAAGCACAACUCAUUUGCAUGCAGCCCACUUGAAGCAGGAGCAGAGCAGAGUGAGGCUCAAACCGGAUUAGAUUUGACAGUACCCCUGAGACAAUAGCAGCUUGGAUAGGUGUGAAGGCUUCUGAUCCAACUCUACUGCUGACUGAAUAACUGAAUACCUCAAAAUCCUCUGUAAAGAACAGGCUUUCUUUAUUCUGUGAAAACAAAGGAAAGGUCAGGGGAUCACCAGCCAGCCAUCGGUAUGCCUCAUCCUCUGGGAACCAUUAAUGUCUGCACAAAAUUUAUAAUCCGCCCAAUAGCCGCUGAGAUAUUUUGUUCUAGAAUAAGUGUAUAAACUAUCCGAUCCAUGUCCUAAAAAUAACAAGCUCAAACACAGCUGUGAUGUUUGUGUAAAACUGUGAGAUGGAAGCAUCAGCCGGUGAAGUGGGAGUGUGUUAGCUCAGCUGUGGCAGCAGAUGGAGAGGGAAGAAGCCCUAGUAAUUUAUUGAAGGCUGCUCUAUGUGAAUAGCUGCUCAUUUUGCAUAGUUACAUUGUUUAUUAAUAGAGAGUUGUUUCAUCAUGCAUUACGUGUUGUUGCUAAUGUAACCUCUGGUUUGAUUACCUUGUGAUUUUAGGACUUAGUUUAAGGUGUCCUGCCAACCUGAUGGGACAUUUUCUUUGAUGAAAAGCUCAUUUAGUUUUUCCACCAAUGUACCUGGUAUGUCUAAGUGAGCCAAAUACAGCUUAACAUGCAUCAUCAA